rnacentral:rRNA from 1 species
AACGAACGCUGGCGGCAGGCCUAACACAUGCAAGUCGAGCGGACCUUUCGGGGUCAGCGGCGGACGGGUGAGUAACGCGUGGGAAUAUGCCCUUCUCUACGGAAUAGUCCUGGGAAACUGGGGGUAAUACCGUAUACGCCCUUUGGGGGAAAGAUUUAUCGGGGAAGGAUUAGGCCGCGUUGGAUUAGGUAGUUGGUGGGGUAAUGGCCUACCAAGCCGACGAUCCAUAGCUGGUUUGAGAGGAUGAUCAGCCACACUGGGACUGAGACACGGCCCAGACUCCUACGGGAGGCAGCAGUGGGGAAUCUUAGACAAUGGGGGCAACCCUGAUCUAGCCAUGCCGCGUGAGUGAUGAAGGCCUUAGGGUUGUAAAGCUCUUUCAGCUGGGAAGAUAAUGACGGUACCAGCAGAAGAAGCCCCGGCUAACUCCGUG